rfam:Nicotiana sylvestris Nsyl_contig66601, whole genome shotgun sequence.
AUUCCACUAUGUUGACAUUUUCGCGUUAUCUCCUUAAACCACUCCCAUGCUUCAAACACAAUUUCAGUCUCAUUCUGGUAGAAGUUAUGGAUUUAUCUUCUAAACUU